UGCUGACUCUGAGUCCUGAGCCC
rnacentral:miRNA from 1 species